CUUUUUCACCAUAGAGGAAAAAAAAAAAAUUUUUUCCCACUCUCUCUCGUCAAAUCGCUACGUUCUCUGUAAACCCUGAAUAGACCUUCGAUUCAAAUCACACAUCCCCAAAAACUUCUUUGUUCGAUCCGGAAUCUGUUCAUCGGAAUCUGUUUAUCCAAUGGAGCCCGUAGCUUCUGUCGUUGAAAAAAUAAAAGGGUUCGCGAAAUCUCCCGAAGAGCUCUUCAAGGGCGUGAUUCACAGGCGGGAUAAUUCGUCUCAUCGCAAUCCGGUUGAAACAAGCUAUACGAUGGAGCUUUAGAUCUCGUCCCAUUGUGUUAUUUACAAAUUGAGAUUUUGAAAUGGUUGCAACGAGAAGUAUUUUCUGAUCUGAUGAAACUAAGGGACAGACGGGACGCAGUUGAAAGAAUGCUUUCCUUCUAUUUGUCUUCCAAGGGAAAUCCAUUUCAGAAAGCCAGUACCCACGUGACAGGAGAGGUGGAUGUUGUGGGCGCAUUAUUGCUUCUGGAUAAUAUUUGUUGGCAGACCUGUGGCACUGUUGAUAGAGCAGGAGUUAGGACUGGAAUUGUUUCAAAGUUCAUAUUUGAAGCAACUACUCAGUACUCUGCUAGCCAUGAACUCUGAAGAUGAAGCAACUGGAACUGUUUCAAGGUGCCAGAGCCUUACCGAUUUCACUUUUGGACCACCCCUCUUGAAUGAAUAUCAUGAUGCUGCUGGUGCAUUAUUUGGUGAAAAGAUCAAAGGUUGCUGCAUGUUUGGCUGAGUUUGUUUCUAGAUUGGGAAUGCAACCAGAUUCUACUGGAUUUAGGCAUUUCAUAAGCACUUUUGGGCAAGUUCUCUUGCAGCUUUCAAAGGGAAAAAAAACUCACUCUAUUGGGUAUUCAAAAAAUUUCCAAAUCAUUAAAUCAGCAGAGGUUUCCUUACUUUUCCGGUGGCUAGUUCAAGAUGUCACAAGCAUCCUCAUAUGCCCACUGAAGCAACUUUUCCAUCCGUCACCAGCAUUUUGGAGGACAAUGUAGCUAUCAGAUCCAUUAGUUUGAUGUUUGAGUUGGAGCUUGAUGAGAGUACUAGAAUCCAUAGUUGUCAAGGCGUCGCCCUAGGCGUUCAGGCGGUUUGUCUAGGGCCGAGGCGACAGCCGCCUUGUUGCACUGCAUGUCGCCUUGUGUUUCGGUAUUUAUUUAUGUCAAAUAUCAUUCAAGUAAAUGUUUUUAAUAUUUUUUAUUUCA